CAAAACUGUUUUGACAUGUUGGCCAGUGCCCUUCGGUGUCACUGAAGCUCAGCCCGCGGACGGCGGUGUGUCAGUGUGCACCGGGAGGCCUGGGCCUCAGUCCCUGGGCUCGUGCCUACGCAACAGCAGGACCGCCCGCGGCCUCCCAGGACCAGUGACCGUCACCCGCAGUAAGGAUCGGGGCGGCUCCGCCAGUUUCGGCCCUCUUUCCAAGACCUCUUUCCAAGGCGCUCUUUCCUAGCCUCACCCGAGGGCCGCAGAGCCGGACCUGUGCCGGGCGAGUUGGAUUUAGCCCAGUUAGAGUUAAGAUGGUAUCAUUAGCUGCGCACAGCGUGACUUCCCGCUAAUCCUCUCUGCAACUUACAACAAGUUUAAAUGUCCAUGCAUGAUGUUAUUAACUGGCUUUAGUAAGUGCUUAAGACCCAGAUCUCUUUUUAAAGUAAUCUCUGAACAAGUUCUACUGUAUCCACCCAACAAGGAGAUUAAUAUUUCCAGCAAAUCUGAUGAUGGGGGAAGAAGCCUGGGCAAAACUAGAGACACCGAGUGUCAGCAAAAGAAAGCUUCUUAACCACAAGUUGCGUGCCGCCUGAGGAAGGUGCCCUGUGGCAGGGGGUGGCCGCUGGGAGAUGCCUGCCUCUAACCGACGUCCAGGCGUGACUAAACCUCGACGCCACCCCCAUUCACAAGCUCAACUCAGGGAUUCCCAAGCAACCGCAGACCGGAGGUGGCGCAGAGGCAGUGACCGAGGUCGCUGAUUAGGGGCCGAGAGGCUGGCAAAUAAUAAUUUUAAAAAAAAAAAAAACCGGAAUAGCCUUCGCGGACGCAGCUCAGCGUGCCAGGCAAAGGACAGUCUGACGACCCGCCCCUGCCGAGCCCCGCAGCGCGGCGCCGGUGUCCAGCAGCCUCCAAGGCGCCGAGCGCGGGCACGGGAACUUGAGCUAGCGCAAACUUGGGCGGCCUCCCAGCCUGCUACCCGGGCCGCAGCGCGCCCCCGGCCUCCCAGUCGCGCGCCAACCCGGGAGCGCGCGCGCCGGCGCACCAGCUCCAUCAGCUAGAGGAGCCCGUCUCCCGGGAAACACCAAUCAGACGCCCGCUUUCAGGCGAGGGCCGCGAGCCGCAGCAGCUGCAGGAGGACUCGGGCAGUUGGCGGUCACCGGGAGGCGUCGUCCUGCCCCGCGGCGGGCCAGCCGCCUUCGCUGCUGCCACUGCCUAGCCUAACCGCAUCUGCAGCCAGUCACAGAGUCGGCUGUCUCCUCUUUGCACCGCCCACGCCAAGUACCUUGCAAGGCGGCUGCUAAGCCUGGCUAAUUUUAGAUCUCCAGAAUGCGCUAUGCCCGCGCUCAACUAAAACCAAGUCAAACCAUCAAGCACAGUGAUGUGCUGCUUUUUGAACAAAUAUGGCUCAAAACUCCGUAUUUCCCUGAAUAAAGUCGAUUAUCUGCACUUUUUAAAAGCCCUACCCCCUGUGGUCUGGCAGUUGGCUGAAAAGCGGAAAGCCACACGCUCCCACCUCAAACAUGGUCAUCACCUUUCUAAGGAAGUGCACUAACUCUCGCAGCCCUGAUUGAGGGCAGAUAAAUAUUCCUUAAUAUCAAUCACAACUAUAUACUUUCCAUUUCCAUUCACCAUCUUAGAAUUAAUUCCACAAAUAAGUCGAACAGUUCCCAGAAGGGGUGAAAUGGGUUCUCUGAGCAAACAGGAAUAGAGGGUUCUGCUGAUUUCUGUACUAGGUUGUUUAAGUUGUGUUAAGAACCGAUGAGCAAAGAAACAGGGUUAACAAAGCCAUCCAUUAAAAUCCAGAGACACUGAAGAACUGCCUUACAUGUCCCAAUUGCUGUAGGACCUGUUUAACUAUCUCGAAGUAGUCAUGUUAAAACAAUCGACCCAGCAUUAUAGAUAUCUUUUUUACUCAAUAACUGAUUCUAAUUAGUUCUUAGUCUUAAAGAACACCUUGUCCUGUGUUGCCCAUCUCACCACUGCCACCCCCAGUUCCCACUAAAUGCAACAUAUUAUGGUGUGUUUUACUUAACUGUAGCACAUUAGGGAGGAAAGGGUAUCAAUUUUCUGAAACCACAGUGACAUUUCCAGAUGUAUAGAUUCAUAGGAAAAAAAUAGAUACAUAGACAGUUACAUACUGUCAUUCAUUUUCUAGCCACAUUGGAAAAUAAAGCCUUUGGUUU
rnacentral:lncRNA from 1 species